GAAGUUCAUACAGUUGCGAGCAAGUUUGCCGAGACUUUACCUAGAUCGGCCUACGGAGUAAUGUUGAGGUGCGAUAUUUUUGUUCUGUACAACUUCCAUUAUCAUAAUUCCAUUCGUACUUGUUAUAAGUAUUGUUCUGAUUACAUCAUGGAUGGAAUAAAUCACAUAGAUUGGUGUAAGCGUUUGUUUGCAUUCGUACACAAAUGAAAAUACAAUCUUUUUCUGCAUACGUAUCGGCCGUAUACAUGCAUGUGUGUACACAAUUACAUGAACACGAAUUCCCGUUCGGUGACCCUGGAAUAAACCUGUGUUUGGUCGAUUUGAAUUGUCAAAACAAUAAAUCAUUAUUGAAUCUAUCAAUUAUGAUACAUGUAACAACUGUUUGCCACGCAUGUUGUUAAAUCGAAAUCCAAAGAAAUAAGUAUACGUCGGAUCUACCGUGUCGUCACUUACAACCAACUCUGUUCCCGCCAGAGGGCGCAACAAGUUGCACUAUAUUUGGAGUAUAGCUAUAUUUGACGUGGGCUUUCCCAAAACUUAAACAGACCAUAAUGGACAUUGGCUACGUAGAGAUAAUUAUUGACCGCAAAUGUUUUUGUCUGAAUAUAUGUUUUAUCGUUUCUGUCUGAAUUAUAAAAAGCAUGCUUGAAUAAAUUGUCCCUUUAAGACUUAAUUGGAAAAGAU